ACAGCAGUCGCCGCGGGAAUACGUAGGUGGCAAGCGUUGUCCGGAAUUAUUGGGCGUAAAGGGUUCGCAGGCGGUUUCUUAAGUCUGAUGUGAAAGCCCCCGGCUCAACCGGGGAGGGUCAUUGGAAACUGGGAAACUUGAGUGCAGAAGAGGAGAGUGGAAUUCCACGUGUAGCGGUGAAAUGCGUAGAGAUGUGGAGGAACACCAGUGGCGAAGGCGACUCUCUGGUCUGUAGCUGACGCUGAGGAGCGAAAGCGUGGGGAGCGAACAGGAUUAGAUACCCCGGUAGUCCCUGUCUCUUAUAC
rnacentral:rRNA from 1 species